rnacentral:rRNA from 1 species
AUUGAACGCUGGCGGCAGGCCUAACACAUGCAAGUCGAGCGGAUGAGUGGAGCUUGCUCCAUGAUUCAGGCGGCGGACGGGUGGAGUAAUGCCUAGGAAUCUGCCUGGUAGUGGGGGACAACGUUUCGAAAGGAACGCUAAUACCGCAUACGUCCUACGGGAGAAAGCAGGGGACCUUCGGGCCUUGCGCUAUCAGAUGAGCCUAGGUCGGAUUAGCUAGUAGGUGAGGUAAUGGCUCACCUAGGCGACGAUCCGUAACUGGUCUGAGAGGAUGAUCAGUCACACUGGAACUGAGACACGGUCCAGACUCCUACGGGAGGCAGCAGUGGGGAAUAUUGGACAAUGGGCGAAAGCCUGAUCCAGCCAUGCCGCGUGUGUGAAGAAGGUCUUCGGAUUGUAAAGCACUUUAAGUUGGGAGGAAGGGCAGUAAGUUAAUACCUUGCUGUUUUGACGUUACCAACAGAAUAAGCACCGGCUAACUUCGUG